rnacentral:rRNA from 1 species
UACGUAGGGGGCUAGCGUUGUCCGGAAUCAUUGGGCGUAAAGCGCGUGUAGGCGGCUCGGUAAGUCUGCUGUGAAAGUCCAGGGCUCAACCCUGGGAUGCCGGUGGAUACUGUCGAGCUCGAGUCCGGAAGAGGCGAGUGGAAUUCCUGGUGUAGCGGUGAAAUGCGCAGAUAUCAGGAGGAACACCGGUGGCGAAGGCGGAGACCUGGGCCGAUACUGACGCUGAGGUGCGAAAGCGUGGGGAGCAAACAGG